ACAAGGUUUCCGUAGGUGACUGCGGAAGAUCAUUAUUGAUGAAUGUAGGGUCGGUUGUCGCUGGCCAUUUUUUCUUUUGGCAUGUGCACGCCUUCUCUUUCAUCCACACACACACCUGUGCACCUGUGAGACGGAGGGCUCACCCCUUUUAUUASGGGACGGUUUCCGUCUGUCGAUACACAAACUCAUUUAUUCAUUUGAAUGUAAUCGAUGUAACGCAUCUAUAAACUAAGUUUCAACAACGGAUCUCUUGGCUCUCGCAUCGAUGAAGAACGCAGCGAAAUGCGAUAAGUAAUGUGAAUUGCAGAAUUCAGUGAAUCAUCGAAUCUUUGAACGCACCUUGCGCUCCUUGGUAUUCCUUGGAGCAUGCCUGUUUGAGUAUCAUGAAAUUAUCAAAACAGACCUCUCGUUCGUUCGAUUGGUUUUUGUUUUGGACUUGGAGGUUUACUGCGGAUUCGCAUCUGCUCCUCUUAAACUCAUUAGCUGGAUCUCCGUGAACUCGGUUCCACUCGGCGUGAUAAGUAUCAUUCGCUGAGGACACCCGUAAAAAAGGUGGCCGGGGAUGCAGAUUGAACCGCUUCCAAUAGUCUGUUAGAUCAGACGAAACAUACUUUAUGAUCUGAUCUCAAAUCAGGUAGGACUACCCGCUGAACUUAA
rnacentral:rRNA from 1 species